GCUCAUCUGUUGUGGUGAUAUCAUGCAAGAUUCCCAUUCUUGCAACCCGGGUUUGAUUCCCGGGCGGUGCA